AACUCCAAGUUAGGUAUUAGACCAUCUGUACACAUCCUUCGUUUAUUAUUAACUGUAUUACCUUUCUUGCUCCUUUUCUUCUUUUAGUUUGUUCUACUUUCUGGGAGAUUUACUUAGUUUUAGCUUCUGACUUUUUAAUUAUUACUUUACUGUAGUUAUGUUUAAUUUAUAACUCUUUAUUGUUCAAUUACUUCAUUUUAUAGCACUGUACUCUUUAUUUUUUGAUGGGCCCAGUAUCUUCUGUUUGAUCUAUAUUAAUCAUUGUCUUGAGGGUUUUUUUUUUUUUGGUUGUUGUUCUUUAUGUACUGCUUCUUGUUUUCUGAGUCUCCUUUUUCUAUUGGCUUUGUCUUUCACGUAAGUGGCAUUCUUCAAAAGUCUGAAGAAUGUUCAUUCAUAUUUAAGACUGAAAGAGUGAUAAAAAGAACUUACUUAUAAAAGAGAAACAAACUCACAGAUUUUUUGAAAUCAAACUUGUGGUUACCAAAGGGGAAAAUGUGGGAGGGGUAAGUUAGGAGGAUGGGAUUAAGAUAUAUACACUACUGUACAUAAUAUUGCUAACUAACAAGGACCUGCUCUAUAGCAAGGGAAAUCUACUCAAAAUUCUAUUAUAACCCCUAUGGAAAAAAAGAAUGAAUAUAUGCAUAUGUAUAAAAGAUUCACCUUGCUGUACACCUGAAACUAAUGCAAUGUUGUAAGUCAACUAUAAGCCAAUAAAAGUUUAAAAAAUAAAAUAUAUUCAUCUUAAAGAGCAAGCCAUAAAAUAGCUGGUUGGAGUUCUGUGUAUAAUUCAAGUAUUUCUCUUGAGUUCUGAGUACCACUUAAGGACAAAAAAGUCAUAAAUUGUCUUCCUCAUUAGGGCAUCCUUCAGUAUCAGUAGGUGGAGGAAGAUUUUUGCUCUGAGCUAUUAUUUUGCCUCCAGAGAAUCUUCAAAUCUCUUAUGUGAAGAGAGACUAUGUAUAUAUCCCUGGAAGAAUUCUGGAAGCAAGAUGAGGAAAGGGCAACCUCUCAUGAGGUCUUCUCUGUAUAUAUUUUUCAAUUAAUCUCUCUGCUUUAGGGCCUCUUAGAUCACCCACGCUAUCUUCUGUGCUGAUGUACAAAAGAGGCCCUUUCCAUUUCUAUUUCUCCAGAGACUAAUCAGUCCUGCAUCUGGGUGGGGCUGGGGUGGAGGAGGGUUGCCCAUAUGAUCAGCAUAUUGGAUGCAUCUGAGGGAUUUCUUUCUUUUUCUUUUUCCUUUUUUUGCUUUUUGGGCCACACCUGUGCCAUGUGGAAGUUCCUAGGGGUCCAAUCAGAGCUACAACUGCCAGACUUCACCACAGCCACAGCAACGCAGUAUUCAGUCUAUGUCUGUGACCUACACCACAGCCCAGGGCAAUGCCAGAUUCCUGACCCACUGAGUGAGGGCAGUGAUCAAACCCACAUCCUCAUGGAUACUAGUCGGAUUCAUUUCCACUGCACCACAGCAGGAACUCUUGAGGAAUUUCUUAUCUAGAGACUUUAGACUAGUGACCUUAUUUCCAACCCAUACUAUCAAUCCCACUUGCUAUGACACCUGGUGUUGCCCAAGGAUGAACAGUCUCAGGGUAGAGUGAGAAAACCUAUUGCUUCUUGACAACCCUCCCAUGUCUAUGUACUGAAACUCCCUACAAUCAGUUAACAUUUUCUAUCUUCCAAAAAAUGACUUGAAAUGUGUUCUACCACAACUCUUAGGCUUUUCAAUUCUUUUGGCAUCAUUUAGUGGGGUUUGGAAAGAAAGGGAAGAUGAAUCAUGUGGUUCAUCUUCUAUGUUUAACCAGACAGUCAUGAUAUAAUCUUCUUAUUCAAACAUUUAGAAAUAUUAUUGAAUAAUCCUGAUUAAACACAGAAAAUUGAAGAACGUAUGAAACCAAAAUGGAAGUAAAGAAUUUGUACAAGUGUGUGUGUGUGUUUAAUAUAAAACCUCAAGUAUAGAGAAAUUGAGAGGAAAUAAUAACAUCAUUUUAGGAUCUGAAAACAAGCUGGGACAUGUGAACUGAUUUAGUAUAAAAAGAAAAUUGAAAAUUAUACUGGUGACAGGGACAAGAACAAGCCAAAAGCAGUCUCAUUUUUACUCAAAACCCCAUAAAGAUUCAAAAAUUGGUGACUUGAGCCAGGCAUCUUGGAAAGUAGAAUUGUGGAUGCGCUUAAAAUCAAAAACAGUAGUUAAAAUCUAUAGUCAUUCUGGAGUAGAGUUGCAGGGUUUAGCAAAUAAAAAUGGAUAUUCCCAGCUAAAUUUGAAUGCCAGGUAAACCAAUGCCAGGUAUGCCAAUAAAAUUUUAAUUUGUAUCAGAACUUAUAUGGGAAAAAGAUCAUUCAUCUUAAAGUCAGAUUUAACCUGGUGGCUGGAACUUUUUCUUCCAGCUCCGUUACCUUCAGAUACCCAGAGCUGAGUGGACACUGACCCUGUUCCUUCAGACAGAAAGUUAGAAAUUUACUCCUAGAAGUGAGUUGGAAACAAUUUGGACAACAGACCACCAGGCCCUGCUGUUUUUUUACAGAAAGUCUCUGCAUGGAAUGGUGAGCCUGAACCCCACCACCUCCAGUCUUCUUCCCCCGCAUGGCUGAAAGCCAGGCUUACAGUUCUCUGAAAGGAAAUUAUCCUGAGUAUAUGCUGAAACCAUGAGUUUCUUUUUCUUUUUCUUUUUUUAAGGUCCUCAUAGGCAUGUGGAGAUUCCCAGGCUAGGAGUCAAAUCAGAGUUGUAGCUGCUGGCCUCACCACAGCCACAGCAACUAGGGAUCCGAUCCAUAUCUGAGACCUACCCCACAACUCAUGGCAAUGCUGGAUCCUCCACCCACUGAGUGAGGCCAGGGAUCAAACCUGCAUCUCACAGAUCCUAGUCAGAUUUGUUUCUGCUGAGCCACCACAGGAACUCCCUGAAACCAUGAGUUUCUUGAUAAGAGUUUUAGAGAUCUAGAUCAGUGAUUUAUUUCUGAGAAAAUGAACGGAGACAUCCACAUACUGGUAGGAAUGGGUCCCUCAAUUCUCCCAGUCAAAUUAACCCAUCCUAGGUAAGACAUCCCUCCAAGACAUACACAACCCCGUGAAUUUUUUGGUAAUUCACUCUUUAAAUAUUAACCUUCAGCUAAGAAACACCAGGUACUUGAGUAACACCUUUCAUAACAAAAGACAAAGCUCAAAACCUAAAAAUGUUAAAAAGGGAAACUGAAGGAGAGAAAGGAAUUUGAAAGAUCAGAAGAAACCUUGAAAAAAUUUGCAAUCUUCAGAGGUACAAGAUUCAACUUACUGAUUCCUUGAGAUAAGAAGAAAAUGAGGUAGAAAAGGAAGAUUCAGAGAACAAAUACUCUUACAAAUUAAAGAUGAAAGCAGAUAUAAAAAUUCAACUCAGAGCUGUAGACUAAAGCCAAAGAAAUACCUCAGAAAGUUAAAAAGUAAAAUAAAAUAAAAUAAAAUAAAAUAAAAUAAGACUAUGAAAAUAAGAGAAAUAAGAAAAUUUAGAUCUCCAAUAUCUGCUAAGAGAAGCAGCAUAGAGAAGAGAGAAAACAGAGGAAGAAACUUGCAAAAUAAAUGAAUAAAUAGGCUUAAAUAUAAAGUAAAUUUUUUUGAUUAGUGGGUUCAUUGUGUAUUUAAGAUAAUGACUGAAAAAAUGCAAGAACCACAUCCAAGAGUAUCAUCAUUAAGUUUCAAAAAUCCUGAAGAGAUUUCAAAAAUUUCUGGGUAUAAAAAAGUCACAUAUAUUGAAGUUCCCAUCGUGGCGCAGUGGUUGACGAACCCAGCUAAGAACCAUGAGGUUGAGGGUUUGAUCCCUGGCCUCGCUCAGUGGGUUAAGAAUCUGUCGUUGCCGUGAGCUGUGGUGUAGGUUGCAGACAUGGCUCGGAACCCGAGUUGCUAUAGCUCUGGCCUAGGCUGGCAGCUACAGCUCCAAUUAGACCCCUAGCCUGAGCAUCUCCAUAUGCUGCAGGUCGGCCUUAGAAAUGACACAAAAGGAGUUCCCAUUGUGGCACAGUGGUUAACAAAUCCGACUAGGAACCAUGAGGUUGUAGGUUCGAUCCCUGGCCUUGCUCAGUGGGUUAAGGAUCUGGCGUUGCUGUGAGCUGUGGUGUAGGUCCCAGAUGUUGCUGGGAUCCUGCAUUGCUGUGGCUCUGGCGUAGGCUGGUGGCUACAGCUCAGAUUCGCCCCCUAGCCUGGGAACCUCCAUAUGCCGCGGGAGCGGCCCAAGAAAUGGCAAAAAGACAAAAAAAAAAAAAGAAAUGACAAAAAAAAAGUCACAUACAGAAGAUCAAGAAUCACAUUUGUCAACAUCCGGAUUAGAUAAUAGAAGAAAAAUGCAUGAAUGUUUUCACAACUUUGAGGAAGUAGAAUUUCCAACUUAGGAUUUUCUACAGGUAAACAAUGAAAUAAGUAAGAGCUAAAAGUAAUGACAAUUUUAGAUAUAUAUGUGAGCACUCAAAUAUUUACUUCCCAAGUAUAUUUUUUAAGAAGGCUAAUAAAGAAAACGCUUCAGCAAAACGUCGACACAAAGCAGGAGCAAGCAAGACAUGAUAUUCAAGAAAUAAAGAAUUCAGAAGUUCCCAUCGUGGCACAGGGGAAACGAAUCCGACUAAGAACUGUGAGGUUGCAGGUUUGAUCCCUGGCUUUGCUCAGUGGGGUUAAGGAUCCAGCAUUGCCAUGAGCUGUGGUAUAGGUUGCAGACACGGUUCAGAUCUGGCAUUGCUGUGACUGUGGUGUAGGCCAGUAGCUGGCAGCUCCGAUUUGACCCCUAGCAUGGGAACCUCCAUAUACUGUGGGUGUGGCCCUAAAAAGCAAAAAUAAAUAAAUAAAUAAAAAUAAGGAAUUCAGUAUAGGAAAGAGAUGAGGUGAAUUCCCUCCCAAGUGAUGGCAAAGGCAGACUGAGGGUAGUAGGUGUAUAAAAAUUCUUUAUUGUUUGGGAGUGUAAAUUGGUACCAGCCUAUGAGGAACAGUAUGGAGGUUCCUCAGAAGACUAAAUAAAGAACCACCAUAUGAUCCAGCAAUCCCAAUCCUGGGUAUAUAUGGACAAAACUUUCAUUCAAAAUGAUACUGCACCCCUAUGUUCGUUGCAGCUCUAUUCAUAAUGAGAGCCUGGAGAAGGUCAGCUCACACUAGGGAAGGGCACCCACAGGAGGUCUGCAAGAAAUAAAAAUCUGACAGAUUAGGGAGUUCCCGUUGUGGCACAGUGAAGAUGAAUCCAACUAGGAACCAUGAGGUUGCAGGUUUGAUCACUGGCCUCAUUCAGGCUCAGUGGGUUAAAGAUCCAGCAUUGCCGUGAGCUGUCGUGUGGUUCGCAGACACGGCUCAGAUCUGAUGUAGCUGUGCUUGUGGUGUAGGCCGGCUGCUACAGCUCUGAUUAGACCCCUAGCUCAGGAACCUCCUUAUGCCACGGGUGCAGCCCUAAAAAGACAAAAAGACAAAAAAAAAAAA
rnacentral:lncRNA from 1 species